rnacentral:tRNA from 14 species
AACCAUAGCUUAACGGUAGAGCAUCGGACUGCAAAUCCGUCGAUCCCAGUUCGAUU